GCCUUUGCGAAGGGCGCUCUGCCUUUGCUAGGGCGGAGCUGCCUUCUCCUCGGCACAGACCCGGAGAGCAUCGCGAGGGCGGAGCUGAGUUCUCCUCUGCACAGACUUCGGAGAUACAGCGAAGGCGGAGCAGUGUUCGCCUCAGCACAGACCCGGGCGGGCGGGCCGUGGGUACCGCGAGGGCGGAGCUGCGUUCUGCUCAGCACACACCCAGGGGACACCGCGAAGGCAGAGCAGCGUUCUCCUCAGCACAGACCUUGGGGGCACUGCCUCGCUUUGGGACAACUCGGGGCCGCAUCAACGACUCAGCUUUGCACUCCAGGGCUGCGUACCACCAGCCACUGUCAUGUUAACCCCUUCCCAGGCCAAUGUGUCCUUGGCCUGGAGCCCAAUCUGCUGGACAGCCUGGGACCGUCCAUUUUCGGGGUGGUGGGCAACCUGGUGGCCAUCGUGGUGCUGUGCAAGUCGCGCAAGGAGCAGAAGGAGACCACCUUCUAUACAGUUAUGCGGCUGGCUGCCACCGACCUGUUGUUCACUUUGCUGGUGAGCCAGGUGACCAUCGCCAUGUACAUGAAGGGCGGGUAACCUGGGGGCCAGCUGCUGUGUGAGUACAGCAUCUUCAGCCUGUUCUUCUUCAGUCAGUCCGGCCUCAGCAUCGUCUGUGCCAUGAUAUCUAUACAGGUAAUUUGUGUUAGACAUUCUUAGAAGAGUUUCAAAAGUUUUAUGUUUUUAUCUGGGUUAUAAACAGAGUCCUCAAAUGCAUACAAAGGAAAUCAUGCCAUGAUUGAAUUUCAGCAGGAAUAAGUUUAUUUUACCUAUUCAAAAUUAAAAUACUUUUGUGUUUGAAAAUCUGUUUUAAAGAUAUGUUUUUGAAAAAAGUUUAAGUAAAUAUUUAAUCAUGUCCCCUUUUCUAUCCCAAGAAAUAAUUUCAUAUAUAGUUUAUUUAAAUUUUUUAACAAAAAUGUAGCAUAAUUUUUUUAAAUUGUAUAUUUUAUUUAACCCAAUAUAUAUCCAAAAUAUUGGGUCAAUAUGUAAUCAAUAUAAAAAUUAUUAGAGAUAGUUUGCAUUCUUUUUUCAUAUGAAAUCUUUGAAAUCCAUUGUGUAUUUUACAUUUUAGGAUGUCUCAACUCAAAUGUGAAAUUUUCAUGGAGAAUAUUUGAACUGUAUUUAGAUUAAUACAAAUUGCAGUUAAAACGUUUAAUAUAGAUUUACCAGGGGGCGUGCAGCCCGCUUGCCAAUCAGAUCGCUGCUGAGCGGUCCCGCAGCCAACCCCCGAAGAGCAGCCUGCUGGCUUCCCCAGCGCCCAGGAGUUGGGGAUGUCCUACAAACCUACCACCCCUGCCCCCAGCAGCACCCCCGGCUUCAGCACCCCUGGGCCAGGCACUCCGGUCCCUACAGGAAGCGUCCCGUCGCCGUCGGGCUCAGGGCCGGGAGCCACUGCCCCUUGCAGACCGCUGUUUAAAGACUUUGGACCACCUACGGUCGGUUGUGUGCAGGCCAUGAAACCACCUGGUGCCCAGGGCUCCCAGAGCACCUACACGGAACUGCUGUUGGUCACAGGGGAGAUGGGCAAAGGGAUCCGGCCCACCUAUGCUGGCAGCAAGAGCGCCGCGGAGCGCCUGAAGAGAGGUAUCAUCCAUCCCUAGUCAGAGUGCCUGGUAGAGACAGAGCGGAACGGCCACACUUAACAGGAAGCUCCUAGGCCUCUGUGUCUGGACUUCAGAGCACCUGCUUCUCCCUGGCCUUCAUCCCUAGUUGCACUAACCAUCCUGGGCUUCCUGUCCUGUGUCCCUUGAUGGGUGCCCUCCAGGAACCAAGGGGCGGUUCUCACUGCAGGUGGCAGCACUAAGGACCCCCCUCCCCACCCCACCCCGCCAACGCAACAAGAGUUAGCAGCGAGGUCCCCGUGAGUCCCACCCAUGACCUGCAGACAGUGUUGCCCACUGGAACUUUCUGUGGCGCCCACCACUCAGCCCUUCCCAGCACUUGUCCAGAGCCUCUUUCUCCCUCAGCACAGCUCAGGCCUCAGGCCUGACACUUCCCUGCCUUGUGUCUUUUGCUAAAUAUGACCUUUCUAUAUUAAUAAAAGAUGCUUUGGAGUUGUGCUCUCUAAAAAAAAGUUUAAUAUAAAGGAGAAAUAAAAGGAAAUUUAGCAAAGAAAUAUGUAGAUGAAUAUUUAAAUACUCAGAGGUGACAUUACUACCAGACAUAAUGAGAUUAUCAGAUGUUUCAUUUACUUAUGAUUAAUAUGUUUGUAUUUAUUUUUUAUUCAUUUUAUUUUAUUUAUGUAUUUAUUUUUAUUAUACUUUAAGUUCUAGGGUACAUGUGCACAACGUGCAGGUUUGUUACAUCUGUAUACAUGUGCUGUGUUGGUUUGCUGCACCCAUUAACUUGUCAUUUACAUUAGGUAUUUCUCCUAAUGCUCUCCCUCCCCCAGCCCCCCACCCCAUGACAGGCCCCAGUGUGUGAUGUUCCCCUGCCUGUGUCCAAGUAUUCUCAUUGUUUAAUUUCCACCUAUGAGUGAGAAUAUGCAGUGUUUGGUUUUCUGACCUUGCGAUAGUUUAAACAAACUAGGAAGUUCAGAAGUCACUUUACAAGAGAAAUAAAGAAAAAUAAAGUAUUAAUGACAUUGGUAACAGAAUAAAAAUUAGAGUUAGACAAAGUAUUAGCAAGCAAGCUUAUAUAUUUAUAAGAGAUGGGAAAAUAUUAGAAAGGAAUAAAUCAUGUCUUGUCAACAUGAAGAAAAAGUGUAUUUUUUUGUUAACUUAUUAUUGUGUUUCCUUGUAUAAUUUUCACUUGGUUUUGUUGGUUUUACUACUUGCUUCAUUCUUUCAAAAACUACAUCUUCAUAGACCAUUUCAGCUUUUGCUAUGUAGGCAGAAUUAUAAAACCCAAUUUCAAAAUUUCAACUGAACGUUGUCAGCAUUUUUCUUUGGGCUUUUUAUUGAAAAAAAAAAACCUAAGUAAUUGUGUGUGUGUGUAUUUUAGUAUUACCAUGAAUGUAAUAACAAUAAAGUCAAACAAAAACAAAUGGAUAUGCAAUAUGUUGGACUAGCAUCUCAAAUAUGAAAAAGGCAUUGCCAACAGUGAUAUAAUUUUUUUUCAUAACGGUAAGCUUUUUAAAGUAUAAUCUUAUUUUAACCUAAAAUCUUACUAUCAGAAAAUGCAGUGUACAUUAAAAUGUUCUGAAAUGCUUUAUUCACAUUUAUUAAAUGGUUGUACUCACUCAGAUAUCUACAAAUUGGUUUUUCACUUAUGUAAUUAUCUUAUAGAAUGUUCAAAAGUCAUGCAGAAUGUGAGAUAAUUUUCUAUUGAAUAUGAUUGUUUUAUCAUUGCAAGACAUCAAACAUCCCUGUUUCCUGCCAAAUGAAUGUACAAUAGCAAUAAAUGUAAAGAUGUGUUUUUUGGAAAAGACACAUUUUUGAGUUAUAAAACAAGGAUUUUAAAACUUGAAUUGUUACAGUGAGUAUGUCUUAAUAUAGGCUACAGUCACUUUAGAUAAAAAAUUACCUCACAUCUAUUUUCAAUAUUACUUAAAGAUGUUCAUUUAGUGGCAAAUAUUUUUUUUUUGCCUAGAGGCAGAUAUUUUGCCACAUGGCUAUUUAUGAAACUGUAUUUAAAUGCAUGUACACAUAUAAAAGCUGCCACUGUGGCUGUAAACUAUUACAAGUUAUCAAGAUUAAAAAAUAAACAAAAAAUAUUUCA
rnacentral:lncRNA from 1 species